UAGUUGCUGACGAGUGGCGGACGGGUGAGUAACGCGUAGGAAUCUACCGAGUAGUGGGGGACAACAGUUGGAAACGACUGCUAAUACCGCAUAAUCCCUGAGGGGCAAAGGAGGGGAUCUGUUUACAGACCUUUCGCUAUUUGAUGAGCCUGCGUGAGAUUAGCUAGUUGGUGAGGUAAUGGCUCACCAAGGCGACGAUCUCUAGCUGGUCUGAGAGGAUGAUCAGCCACACUGGAACUGAGACACGGUCCAGACUCC
rnacentral:rRNA from 1 species